GGCACAAUAUUUGGCAAAAAGCGGGAUUCUUCAUUUUGGAACCCGCGUCUCCAAAAUUUCACUUACAACUGUCAUGAAAAAUCCCCAAAUUCAAAACCCUAUCUUCCUCAUCUCUACUUCAACUUCCCCGUGUUCCUUCACACCCUCGGCCCCCUGUUUCAUCUUUCGACUCUUCUUCUUCACCGGCGCCAUCAACUCCCGUUGGUUAUCAAGCGGCCAUCGUCCUAAGAUUAAUCAAACUGGCUGCUAGAUACGAUGACCUUAAUUACUUGAAAGGGUUAUAAUCUCCUGGAGUACCUGCUGAUAUCAUAUUUCACAAGGUUUUUCAAGGCCGAGCAGGAGCUGAAGAACCUCGAGAAUAAAUUCGAGAAAGGUAUUAGCUGAAUUCUGUCCAAAAAGGUAAGGAUUUACGAAAGGGAUGUUAUAAAAUUUGGUUUGUUGGCUCUCCUACGUACUGAAUGCCAUCUAGCAAGAGUGCGGGAUGGAAAUAACCGAAUCCCCUACACAAAAACAACCUGCUAGUUGUGCACAUCAGUUUUAGUUGCUUCGGUCUACUAUUUAAGGUACACAUUCUGAUUUUGUAUUAGUCUUUCUAUUUAAUUUCAAUGACUGUUUUAUGACUUACUUUAUGAAGGCUAGAAUCACCUCCAAGGUCUUAUAUUCUCUGUAAGGCUUAGUUGCUUACGAUGUCUUAACAUAUUUCAGAUAGCUUGGUGGUGAGAAUGGUAUUUCGUCCUUUUGAAGAAAGCUCAUAUACAAUAUUUGCGAGAAGAUUCUAAAGAUAGAAGGAAGGAUCUAGGGCGCCGCCUCAUCGAAGGCUUAAAGCUUGUAUUGCUGAUUGGUUUUAUUUUUGUGUCUUUUGGACCAAGUUAUUCAUAUUCUCUAUUGAGAUUGUUGUAUGGACAAAAGUGGAGUGAUGGAGAAGCUUCAACUGCUCUCAGAUACUACUGCUUGUACAUUACAUUUCUGACACUGAAUGGUAAAGUGAAGUAUGGAUGCUAAAGGAAAAUAGCCAAAUGAUAUGGAGAAGAAAAAUAUUGUGGUUGUCUUUGAUAUUAUGGAUUAUGGAAGUUGGCUAUUGUAUUUUAGAUUUUAAAGAUACAAAGUAACAUUGACUUAUUUUCUUUUUGUUAAAAGAUUGGUGUUUUGUUUUAUGUGUAUACUUUUGUGUAAAACAAUUUUGAUAUGAAUGAAAGUUUUUGCUUGAGAA